UGGGUAACCUGCCUCAAAGAGGGGAAUAGCCUCCCGAAAGGGAGAUUAAUACCGCAUAAUAUGUUUAGGUCGCAUGACUUUAACAUCAAAGGAUUUUUCUUUUAGAAAUUCCACUUUGAGAUGGACCCCGCGGCGCAUUAGCUAGUUGGUGAGGUAACGGCUCACCAAGGCAACGAUGCGUAGCCGACCUGAGAGGGUGAUCGGCCACAUUGGAACUGAGACACGGUCCAGACUCCGUAGGAG
rnacentral:rRNA from 1 species